GCGGCGAACGGUCGAGUAACACGUAAGCAACCUGCCCUGCAGUGGGGGAUAACAGCGGGAAACUGCUGCUAAUACCGCAUAGGCAUAUUUCUGGGCAUCCAGGGAUGUGUAAAGGCUAGACUGCUGCAGGAGGGGCUUGCGGCCUAUUAGCUAGUCGGUGGGGUAACGGCCUACCGAGGCGACGAUGGGUAGCUGGUCUGAGAGGAUGGUCAGCCGGAUCGGGACUGAGACACGGCCCGGACUCCUACGGGGGGCAGCAAUCAGGAAUAUUGCGCAAUGGGGGAAACCCUGACGCAGCGACGCCGCGUGCGGGAUGAAGGCCUUCGGGUCGUAAACCGCUGUUGUGGGAGACGAAUGACUGUCGAUGAGGCAGUGGAGACGGUAUCUCACGAGGAAGCCCCGGCUAACUACGUGCCAGCAGCCGCGGUAAUACGUAGGGGGCGAGCGUUGUCCGAAGUUACUGGGCGUAAAGCGCGCGUAGGCGGCUCUUUAAGUGACUGGUGAAAUCCCCGG
rnacentral:rRNA from 1 species